AUGGCUUCUGGGUACUGUGGAAAAACCCAACCCGGUUCCACGCGAGCGUUUUUGGUCACUGGCUUCGCAGCUUCCCCUCUAGGCACACUGGCCCUUCCCCUCCUGGGAGGUCAAAGGGCGGCGGGGUGGGGAAGCCUGGGUUUUGGGUUGGCCGUUUAUUCGCUACGUGACCUUGGCCGUGGAACCAAACGGUCCGUGUUGCAUGAUGCGAAGAGUCACAGCAGAUGCCUGGACCGCGCACCUGCCACAGCGAAACACCCACGUGGCACCGAUAACACCCUUUUCGAUAAAAGGAAAACAAAACUUCCAGCAGAGAUAAAGGAAGGUCCGAAUUCUUUGGCAGCUGUCCUGGGAAGGAGCGUUCCACGUUCCGUGCUGUUUUCCCACUGGAAUGGGACAAAGGGGCUCUGAAAUAUUUGUCCAGAUCAUUUCUCAUCAAUGGGGCAUUCCAACAGCCACAAGUGGUGUCGGCUUUUCGCCCUGAGCCCAGCCAGGAGGGAGCCACUGGUCUGGCUAAUCUGGGUGGGAGUCCUGGUCACUGGCUGAACUGGGGGGGCGGGAGCACUCGUGUUCCAUGGGGACAGUGUAUCUGACCGAGUCGGCUGCUGGCCGGCUGCUGGGGCUGAGCUGUGUCAGAGGCUGGACCUGUGCGCCAGACCCCUGAGCCCGUGUGGCUCUAGUCUGUCUCUUGCCUGGGAGAAGUGAUUAAUUAUGCCAUUUUUUAGAGGAGGAGACUGAGGGUCCGUGUGGAUGCGGGAGACUCACCCAAGGUCACACACAUUUCAGAUCUCUGUCUGACACCAAGCCUCCCGGCUCUGGCCACCACAGCCAGAAGCGCUGCCGUUCACCUGUCCUCCUGUCCCCAAGUGCCCUCGUGCUUCCUCCUGUGCCCAGACAUCCACGGUGUCUCCCCAAAGUGACGAGCUCUGAGCUGCGAGCUUCUCAGCUGAGACACAGCCCCGCACCUGUCUCUGUGGUCCAGGUUCUGUCUCCUCUCGGUCUGGUACCACCUCCUGGCACACCCUCUCUUCUAGGUCAUCCUGUCCCCAGGUGUCUCUGAAAACUCCUCCGACACCAGGCAUCACCUUCCCACUGCCCAGGGGCCUCGGAGCAGAGCACAGGUGCCUGGUGGGACAGAGAUAGGUCCGGGGUGGCAGCCAGGUCCAGAUGGCCCCCGAGGACCCUCACCUGUUGGUGUGCACUCCCUGAGGAGCCGGCUUCUUCACCUUGAACGGUGCUCACCUGGUAGCCAGAAGAUGCCCGGGAAUGAUGCACGGGACUCCCAAGACGGUGUCAUAAAUGGUGCUAUGUCUUCUGCCUCUCUCUUCAACUACUUGCUCUGGGGUCAGGUGUCCACUGCGUUGCAAGAAUGCUCAAGCAGCCCCGCGGAGAGGCCCAUGUGGCAGGGUCCCGAGGCCGCCACCAACGGCCCGGUGAAGGAGGGGUCUUGGAGGUGAGCCCUCCAGCCCCAGGCAAGCCUUCAGAUAACUGCAGCCCCAGCCGCCAGCUCGACCACCAUCCCCUAAAAGAUUCUGGCCCAGAACCACCCAGUCCAGCAGCUCCUGGAGGCUUCGCCCACAGAAACCGUGGGAGAUAAUAAGUAUUUGCUGUUUCCAGCCACGCGGUGUGGGGACAGUUUGUUACACAGCAAGAGAUAACGAAUCCACGAGGUUCGAAUUGUGCACUGUCUCUUAUGAGCCCUGGUUUCUUCCUUUACAAGACAGGCUCAUCAUUACUCCUCUGAGAACGGUGCUGAGAACUGAGCAGAAGGCGGCCUGCACUGUGCCCAGCAUCCCCGGGGCCACGGGGCAGCAGUUACUGUUGCUGCAGCCACGUUUGCCUGCAUGGAGCUCUGACCACCCC
rnacentral:lncRNA from 9 species